rnacentral:lncRNA from 1 species
GUGCAUUCUGACGAAUAACAGCAAAGCUGCAGCCUCAGGUGGAUCAGGACAAGAUUCAGCCUCCUGAACAGCUUUCACAAGCGCUGUAGAGGCUGCUCUGCAGGGGAGGCGCUCCCUUCUUUGAAUGUGUGGGGUUACAAGUGCCUUUCCCAGCUGCUCCAGGAACACCCUCCUCUUGUGGAUGAUGACCAUGGGCCAGCGGGCAGUCAUCCUCCUGCAACCUGACAACGACCCAACACACCUCCAGGCUGUGUAAGGGCUAUUUUACCAAGAAGGAGAGUGCUGUAUCAGAUGACCUGGCCUCCACAAUCCCCCCCUCAAGAAAAUGUAAUAGUUUGAGAUGAGUCGGAACACAGAG